rnacentral:rRNA from 1 species
CCGUUAAUUGAUCAGGACGUGCUUGCACUGAAUGAGAUUUUAACACGAAGUGAGUGGCGGACGGGUGAGUAACACGUGGGUAACCUGCCCAGAAGCAGGGGAUAACACCUGGAAACAGAUGCUAAUACCGUAUAACAGAGAAAACCGCCUGGUUUUCUUUUAAAAGAUGGCUCUGCUAUCACUUCUGGAUGGACCCGCGGCGCAUUAGCUAGUUGGUGAGGUAACGGCUCACCAAGGCGAUGAUGCGUAGCCGACCUGAGAGGGUAAUCGGCCACAUUGGGACUGAGACACGGCCCAGACUCCUACGGGAGGCAGCAGUAGGGAAUCUUCCACAAUGGACGAGAGUCUGAUGGAGCAACGCCGCGUGAGUGAAGAAGGGUUUCGGCUCGUAAAGCUCUGUUGUUAAAGAAGAACGUGGGUGAGAGUAACUGUUCACCCAGUGACGGUAUUUAACCAGAAAGCCACGGCUAACUACGUGCCAGCAGCCGCGGUAAUACGUAGGUGGCAAGCGUUAUCCGGAUUUAUUGGGCGUAAAGCGAGCGCAGGCGGUCUUUUAAGUCUAAUGUGAAAGCCUUCGGCUCAACCGAAGAAGUGCAUUGGAAACUGGGAGACUUGAGUGCAGAAGAGGACAGUGGAACUCCAUGUGUAGCGGUGAAAUGCGUAGAUAUAUGGAAGAACACCAGUGGCGAAGGCGGUUGUCUGGUCUG